AUGGCAUUUGCAUUCAUUCCAAUCGGAUAUGGAAUAACGUGAAUUGUAUUCCGAUUCAUGAAAGCAAGCAGCCAAUCAGAUCACACCUUCACGGUUCUGAGGACCCAAUCACAGCAGCAGUCCUGAAAAAGAUUAAUUUUUUCCCCGCCUAAGGUGCUUUUCCCUGCUGUCAAAAGGUCAAUGAAAACAUUGUAAUUUUCGGCUGAAGUUGAGCAAAAGUUAUUUUUGUACAAUUUGACACAUGGCUGCAAAAUAUCAUUUGUUGAAGCUGGCAAUAAAGUGAAGGAGGAAUGUCUGACUCCUUUUACGG